rnacentral:rRNA from 1 species
AACGAACGCUGGCGGCAUGCCUAACACAUGCAAGUCGAACGAGAUCUUCGGGUCUAGUGGCGCACGGGUGCGUAACGCGUGGGAAUCUGCCCUUUGGUUCGGAAUAACAGUUGGAAACGACUGCUAAUACCGGAUGAUGACGAAAGUCCAAAGAUUUAUCGCCAGAGGAUGAGCCCGCGUAGGAUUAGCUAGUUGGUGUGGUAAAGGCGCACCAAGGCGACGAUCCUUAGCUGGUCUGAGAGGAUGAUCAGCCACACUGGGACUGAGACACGGCCCAGCCUCCAACGGGGGGCGGCAGUGGGGAAUAUUGGACAAGGGGCGAAAGCCUGAUCCCGCAAUGCCGCGGGGGUGAUGAAGGCCUUAGGGUUGUAAAGCUCUUUGACCCGGGAUGAUAAUGACAGUACCGGGAGAAUAAGCUCCGGCUAACUCCGUGCCAGCCCCCGCGGUAA